UCUUCCUUCUCGUCUGUUUCUUUCUUCUGGUGUUUGCAUGUUGUGUUUGUUUGGUAGAAGUCGAUUUUGACAAACCAAACAAUUCCAAAGACGUGAUUUUCUCAAUCCAGGAUGGUUAGUUCAUGUCCAAUGACUUUACAAUAAAGGAGUGCCUUAGGCGAGAGCUUUUCAGUUUGCUAAUGAGGCAACCCGGAUUUGUUAAACAUGUCAAAGCCGGAAUGAUGCUGUUUUUGUUUGAAUUCGAGAGUUGAGAGCUACAUGGUGUAUUUAAGGCUUCCUCUGACGGUGAUAUAAACAUUGAGCCUAACGCAUUCUGGGAAACAGUUUCCUGCUCAGGUUCAGAGGCUGUUGAAGUUGUUUAGCUUGACAAAAGAAGAUAGAUCAUGGCUGAGAAAAACUGCAGUUGUUAAAAGGAACUAGGUUCGGACCCGCGUUACAGCACGGGGGAAAAUUAUCGGUUUUAAAAUUUUCAUUACAUUUACAUGUAUAUUGUAUUAUAUAGUUUUUAUAGCUGUAAGAAAAAACGCAAAUUGAGAGGUCUACUUCAUUUGCUGUUAUAAUAGUAUAAUUAAGAGAACACA